AACUUUUAACAAUGGAUCACUGCGCCCGACCAACUUCGCCAGCGCGUGGCGUUCGCUCUCGCGGAGAUGUUCGUCAUCUCCACCAACUCGGUCAACUCGCGCGCCGUCGUCGCCUUUCAGAACACACUCGUCAACGACGCCUUCGGUAACUUUGCAACCAUCAUGAAGGAUGUCACCCUCUCUCCCGGCAUGGGUGCCUACCUCAACAUGCUCAACAGCGACAAGCCGAGAACGGUCAAUGGAGUCCCCCAGGUCGCGAACGAGAACUACGCCCGCGAACUCAUGCAGCUUUUCACCAUGGGCCUCUACCUGCUCAAUCCCGACGGCACACUUAAGCAUAUCAAUAAGCGGAGGCU
rnacentral:misc_RNA from 1 species